GUCGGGUAAGUUCCGACCUGCACGAAUGGUGUAACGAUCUGGGCACUGUCUCAACCAUGAGCUCUGUGAAAUUGUAGUAUCGGUGAAGAUGCCGAUUACCCGCAAUGGGACGAAAAGACCCUGUGAACCUUUACUAUAACUUCGUAUUGACUUUGAAUAAACAAUGUGUAGGAUAGGUGGGAGACUAUGAAGCUGGCACGCUAGUGUCGGUGGAGUCAACGUUGAAAUACCACCCUUUGUUUAUUUGGAGCCUAACUUGAGAGAUCAAGGACAUUGCGUGGUGGGUAGUUUGACUGGGGUGGUCGCCUCCAAAAGAGUAACGGAGGCUUUCAAAAGGUACCCUCAGCACGCUUGGUAACCGUGCGUAGAGUGUAAUGGCAUAAGGGUGCUUGACUGUGAGACCUACAAGUCGAUCAGGUGCGAAAGCAGGACAUAGUGAUCCGGUGGUUCCGUAUGGAAGGGCCGAUCGCUCAUAGGAUAAAAGGUACUACCGGGGAUAACAGGCUAGUCUCCCCCAAGAGCUCACAUCGAC
rnacentral:rRNA from 1 species